rnacentral:rRNA from 1 species
CCAGCCCGCUCAGAAACUCAAAGGAAUUGACGGGGCCCGCACAAGCGGUGGAGUAUGUGGUUUAAUUCGAUGCAAUGCGAAGAACCUUACCUGGUCUUGACAUCCCGGAGACCCUUAGGAAACUAGGAGGUGCUUCCAUCUGGAAGAAUCUGGAGACAGGUGCUGCAUGGCUGUCGUCAGCUCGUGUCGUGAGAUGUUGGGUUAAGUCCCGCAACGAGCGCAACCCUUGCCUUUAGUUGCCAGCAGUUCGGCUGGGCACUCUAAAGGGACUGCCGGUGUUAAACCGGAGGAAGGUGGGGAUGACGUCAAGUCCUCAUGGCCUUUAUGACCAGGGCUACACACGUACUACAAUGGCCGAUACAAAGGGCAGCGACACUGCGAGGUGAAGCCAAUCCCGUAAAAUCGGUCUCAGUCCGGAUUGGAGUCUGCAACUCGACUCCAUGAAGUUGGAAUCGCUAGUAAUCGUGGAUCAGCAUGCCACGGUGAAUACGUUCCCGGGCCUU